rnacentral:misc_RNA from 1 species
UCUCCGUUGGUGAACCAGCGGAGGGAUCAUUACCGAGUUUACAACUCCCAAACCCAUGUGAACAUACCUGUCUUGUUGCUUCGGCGGCGCCCACGGCCCUCACGGGCUUGGGGCCCGCCAGAGGACCCAAACAAAACUCUUUGCAUUUUGAAUACAGUAUUCUGAGUGACAUGAUUAAAUAAAAUCAAAACUUUCAACAACGGAUCUCUUGGCUCUGGCAUCGAUGAAGAACGCAGC